GUCUCGAUGGUGUAGUUGGUUAUCACGUGGGUCUCAUACUACAGUAUGACGUGGAAGCAAGAUUCAAAACUUCCAUGCUAUCCCAAGGCCGGGAGUUCGAACCUCCCUCGGGACA
rfam:Aspergillus carbonarius ITEM 5010 unplaced genomic scaffold ASPCAscaffold_4, whole genome shotgun sequence.